UACGUAUGGUGCAAGCGUUAUCCGGAAUUACUGGGUGUAAAGGGAGCGUAGACGGUUAAUCAAGCCAGAUGUGAAAGCUAUGGGCUCAACCCAUGAACUGCAUUUGGAACUGAAUAACUAGAGUGCCGGAGGGGUAAGCGGAAUUCCUGGUGUAGCGGUGAAAUGCGUAGAUAUCAGGAGGAACACCGGUGGCGAAGGCGGCUUACUGGACGGCAACUGACGUUGAGGCUCGAAAGCGUGGGGAG
rnacentral:rRNA from 1 species